CUGAAAGAUACACAAUAAAAAUAACAGGAGUUAGGAAAAACUGGCCUGCCACCUCAGCUCUUAUUACAAGUGUUCAGCCAGUGCCUGCACUUGGCAGAGGUACUGGCUUCUGUGAUCAAAUCAGCCAGCUUGAACCAGAGCUUGGCCAUUCUCCAGGUUUAGUGUGGCACUUUACUGGGCAGGCAAUGCCUUUCUUGUGCUCUGGGGAAGUCCCUCACACAGAGCAAGUUUCAGUGGAUCACUUCCUCAUUCUGCUCCUCAGCUUCUGCUUGGCACAGGCUAGAAGUUGCCAGGAGCUUGACAACUGGGCAGUAGCCAUACAGCCCUUGAACUGGAGCCAGCAUGAGAACAGCUAUGGCAGAGGCUGUGGGAUCUGCUCCCACCAGCUGAGGGUCUGGUCCUUCUGUGCAGCAGUGGCUAUUCAAGGGAUCAAACAACCCCUGAGGAGCAGCUGAGUGUGAUGUUAUUCCCCCUGUGCUCCUCGAGCUGCUUGGAGCAUCCUGAAGCCCAGCAGGUAUUUUGUGUUCACCUGUGGUAGCAGGCUGUAAUAGAUAAAUAUCUACAUAUUCAGCAGGCUGAGCAGGACGGCCUGUGCGUGUCUCUGUUUAGGCUAGUCUGGACUGUGUCAUGUUUUGCUGCCAUUCCCAGAUGCUUCCUUCUGCAAUUAAUAAAGUAGGGUAUGGCGUCACUUUUGGUUUUGUCUUUGAAAGAGUAAACAAAACAGAAGACCAAAAGGCAGCUACUUAAAACAUAUUCCUCUGCUGUGACUGGGGAAAAUCUUUCCUUCAGAUGCAGGCAUCCACUGUUUGCAUUGCUCAUCCUCCUGGCAGGGGUUAUGUGCUUUGUCUGCCUCACUUGGUUCAAGCCUAACCUUUCUGAUCUUUCUAUUUUUGAAAUGCCUGAAAUGCUGUUGCUUCCUCUCAUGGAUCCUGGUUCCAGCUGCUUCCCACAUCUCCAGGAGAUGAUGAAAAAAGAACUUAUCAGUGGGUCAAGAAACACAACUCACUUCCUGAAGGCUGAGUUGGGAGAGGUGGUGCUGUGAUCACUGGGUGCUGGCUCUUCACCCCUGAGGGUUUGCCCUGCUGCCAACAACUGCAUGUUGCUGUUCCUUGUCUUCUGUGAAUACUUGCUUCUAUGAUUCUGUUUAGCACAGCUUCAAGACUCAUCCCGAAGUGCUGGAGGACUACAAGCCAAGAGUGGGCCACAAAAUAAGAGCCCCAGCUGCAUUGUGCCUGGAUGAGGUGGUGGAGGAAAGCUGCCCCUCAGGAAGCUGCCAGGAUCUUUGGCCUGUCCAGGGAACCACUGCUGGCAUGGAGGAAGAGGUGUUCACACCAGCUCCUGCACAGGACACACAGGUGUCUGCUCACAGAAAGCCUGUACUUGCCAA